rnacentral:snoRNA from 1 species
CCUUAUGAUGAAGUUUUCCUACAUUCGCAGUUUCCACUCGAGACCCCACCUACGAGCCUUUCUCGGGGUCAGAUGAGGGCGAAGUCUUCCUUGGAUGUCUGAUU